rnacentral:lncRNA from 15 species
GCCGUCACAAGAUAAAGGCUCCUCCCCAUCUUUGAGACUAAAAGGAAGUUGUUCUUUCCUACAGAAGAAGUUGAUGGUGUACAUUGAUGUUCAGAUAAAACGGCUAAAAAGAGCAGGAAGAAAAAGAAAGUUUCCUCAUCGACUGACAGCACUUAAUCUGAAGUCAGCAUCUGGAAAUCUGACACAAUGAGCCGUCCACAGAGCUACAUAGAAGGUGAAGCUCCAGCCUC